rnacentral:pre_miRNA from 1 species
GGGAGGGGCGGGAGGGGGCUCCCCGGUGCUCGGAUCUCGAGGGUGCUUAUUGUUCGGUCCGAGCCUGGGUCUCCCUCU